rnacentral:lncRNA from 1 species
UGCUAGUAUAACGUAUCUCUUAUUAACUUUACUGCUAUGAUUGCGCAUCUAAAAUGUGUUUUAUUUCAGUUAUUGAUUGACCAUUUUUUAUUUAUGUUUGUGAUUUCUAAAGUUUAAAGAGUGACGAAGUGUAUUUCAAUACCAAACAACCAACAGUGUAAACAAUAUUAAACUUUUGGACCAACAAACGAAAUAAGAUUCGGACUUAACAGUACAAACAGUCAAGUAUAGAAACAACAGAUGCAUGUACGUCAGCGUCAGUGUAAAUACGGUAUCAGCCCGUAGUUCUUAGUAACGUUUAAACGAGAACAAUAUGACUAACUGUUAAGCGAUUGCGUAUAAAAAACGAAUAAUGGGUCAUCUACCCAACCCAAAGGACAUUUAUGGGCAGCUUUAGCAUAAAGGUUUGGGAAACACUGAAUUAUACA